GGGGGUAUAGCUUAGGUGGUAGAGCGUAACCUUUGCAAGGUUAAAGUCAGCGGUUCGAGUCCGCUUACCUCCA
rnacentral:tRNA from 1 species